rnacentral:rRNA from 1 species
GCGCACCAGGCGCGAAACCUUCGCAAUGCAGGAAACUGCGACGAGGGGAACUCCAAGUGCCUACGCUCAGCGUAGGCUGUUCUCAAGCCUAGAAAGCUUGAGGAGUAAGGGCUGGGUAAGACGGGUGCCAUCUGUGGUAGCAGUCAAUAGAUUCGAUUUGUUACUGCAAGGCAUAAGCCGCCGCGGUAAAUACCCGCAGCCCAAGUGGUGGCCGCUUUUAUUGGGCCUAAAAGCGUCCGUAGCCGGCCCGGUAAAUGCCUGGGUAGAUCGUGGAGCCCAACUUCACGAAUUCCGGGUAGACUGCCGAGCUCGGGACCGGAAGAGGGAGAGGGUACUUCAGGGGUAGGGGUGAAAAUUUCCUUUCCAUUAACGCUUUGCGCGAAAGCGGAAAGGGUUAUCACAAAUCCUGUAAUCCCUGGAGGACCACCCGUGGCG